rnacentral:rRNA from 1 species
GAUGAACGCUAGCGGCAGGCCUAAUACAUGCAAGCCGAACGGCAAGUUUGAUAGCAAUAUUGGACCUAGAGUGGCGCAAGGGUGCGUAACACGUAUGCAACCUGCCCGCGACAGGAGGAUAGCUACCCGAAAGGGGAAUUAACCCUCCAUAACACCAUGAGAAGGCAUCUGAUUAUGGUUAAACCGCAAGGGGUCGCGGAUGGGCAGGCGUUUGAUUAGCUAGUUGGCGGGGUAAAGGCCCACCAAGCCGGUGAGCAAUAGGGGUUCUGAGAGGAAGGUCCCCCGCCCUGGCACUGGGCUCCGGGCCAGACGCCUACGGGAGGCAGCAGUAGGGAAUAUUGGAAAAUGGUUGCAAGCCUGAUCCAGCCCGGCCGCGUGGAGGAAGAAGGCCUUCUGGGUCGUAGACUGCUUUGUCCUGUGGAUAAAAGACCCGUGCGCGGGGAAUUGAAGGUAACAGGAGAAUAAGCCACGGCUUACUUCGUG